GCUGUUUCUUGUUUCAAGUAUGUUUUAUUAUGAAAAGUACAAUAUAUCCAUGUAUACUUGUACAACUAUGGAGCGUAUGUCCACAUAUAAUUGUACAAUUUGUUUUCCAACAUAAAAGACAAGAAAUGAUCACAUUGGUAUUUUAACAGUGUUAUUGUAAGAGUUUAAAUGUUUAAACAGAGGAUACAUCUAAAACAGGAUAAAACAAGUGCAGUAUGUUGUGAGAAUGUUACUUUAACGUCGACUCAUAACGUCACACUAUAACUUUCAUGGGAGUCUUGUGGAAAGACUAACGGUGUUAUUGUAAGAGGUCAUGGGUCAAGGUCCUCACAAUUAUAGGAAGAUGCGCAUGUGUGUGUGAGAUAGUGUGUCCAGUGUGUGAGUGUGUGUGUUUGUCCAGUGUGUGUGUGUGUGUGUGUGUGUGUUUGUGUGUUUGUCCAGUGUGUGUGUGUGUUUGUCCAGUGUGUGUGUGUGUUUGUCCAGUGUGUGUGUGUGUGUGUGUUUGUCCAUGUGUGUGUGUGUGUGUGUGUUUGUCCAGUGUGUGUGUGUGUGUGUUUGUCCAGUGUGUGUUUGUCCAGUGUGUGUGUGUGUGUGUGUGUGUUUGUCCAGUGUGUGUGUGUGUGUGUGUGUGUGUUUGUCCAGUGUGUGUGUGUGUGUUUUUGUCCGGUAUGUGUGUGUGUGUGUUUGUCCAGUGUGUGUGUGUUUGUUUGUCCAGUGUGUGUGUGUGUGUGUGUGUCCAGUGUGUGUGUGUGUGUGUGUGUGUGUGUGUGUGUGUGUUGUCCAGUGUGUGUGUGUGUGUGUGUUUGUCCAGUGUGUGUGUGUUUGUCCAGUGUGUGUGUGUGUGUGUGUGUGUGUUUGUCCAGUGUGUGUGUGUGUGUUUGUCCAGUGUGUGUGUGUGUGUGUGUGUUUGUCCAGUGUGUGUGUGUGUGUUUGUCCAGGGUGUGUGUGUGUGUGUGUGUGUGUGUGUGUGUGUGUGUGUGUGUGUGUUUGUCCAGUGUGUGUGUGUGUGUGUUUGUCCAAGUGUGUGUGUGUGUGUUUGUGUGUUUGUGUGUGUGUUUGUCCAGUGUGUGUUUGUGUGUGUUUGUCCAGUGUGUGUGUGUGUGUGUGUUGAGUGUGUGUGUGUGUUUGUCCAGUGUGUGUGUGUGUGUGUUUGUCCAGUGUGUGUGUGUUUGUGUGUGUGUUUGUCCAGUGUGUGUGUGUGUGUGUGUGUGUUUGUGUGUGUGUUUGUCCAGUGUGUGUGUGUGUGUGUGUGUGUGUGUGUGUUUGUCCAGUGAGUGUGUGUGUGUGUUUGUCCAGUGUGUGUGUGUUUGUCCAGUGAGUGUGUGUGUGUUUGUUUGUCCAGUGUGUGUGUGUGUGUGUGUGUGUGUGUUUGUCCAGUGUGUGUGUGUGUGUUUGUCCAGUGUGUGUGUGUGUGUGUGUUUGUCCAGUGUGUGUGUGUGUGUUUGUCCAUGUGUGUGUGUGUGUGUGUGUGUGUGUGUGUGUCCAGUGUGUGUGUGUGUCCAGUGUGUGUGUGUGUGUGUGUGUGUGUGUGUUUGUCCAGUGUGUGUGUGUGUGUGUGUGUUUGUCCAGGUGUGUGUGUGUGUGUGUGUGUGUGUGUGUGUGUGUGUGUGUUUGUCCAGUGUGUGUGUGUGUGUUUGUCCAGUGUGUGUGUGUGUGUGUUUUUGUCCGGUAUGUGUGUGUGUGUUUGUCCAGUGAGUGUGUGUGUGUGUUUGUCCAGUGUGUGUGUGUGUGUUUGUCCAGUGUGUGUGUGUUUGUGUGUGUGUUUGUCCAGUGAGUGUGUGUGUGUGUUUGUCCAGUGUGUGUGUGUUUGUCCAGUGAGUGUGUGUGUGUUUGUUUGUCCAGUGUGUGUGUGUGUGUGUGUGUGUGUGUGUGUGUGUGUGUGUGUGUGUGUGUGUGUGUGUGUGUGUGUGUGUGUGUGUGUGUGUGUGUGUGUCCAGUUAUUAUUUCAGGGACACUGAAGAGCCAACAUCAUCAACCCUAAAUCCUGGAUAGAGGGGCUCAGUGAAUGUGGAGGUGAAUGUGAUCAGGUGGGUCAGUGUGUCAGAGGAGGCUCUAUAGAAGGACAGAGUGCCGGCUGACCAGUCCAGAUACACUCCUACUCUGUGGGAGCUGGAGGAGGGGACGUCUAUGGUAGUGGAGUUAUUAUUAUACCAGCUGGAGGAGGGGACGUCUAUGGUAGUGGAGUUAUUAUUAUACCAGCUGGAGGAGGGGACGUCUAUGGUAGUGGAGUUAUUAUUAUACCAGCUGGAGGAGGGGACGUCUAUGGUAGUGGAGUUAUUAUUAUACCAGCUGGAGGAGGGGACGUCUAUGGUAGUGGAGUUAUUAUUAUACCAGCUGGAGGAGGGGACGUCUAUGGUAGUGGAGUUAUUAUUAUACCAGCUGGAGGAGGGGACGUCUAUGA
rnacentral:lncRNA from 1 species